CUUCUCUAUGCGUUAAUUUGAAGGCAACAAGUUAGCCUCUAUCUAAUUUUUCCUGAAUUCAAUUAAGCCACACAUUGUCCUCUUGUUCCUCUAUGCACGGCUGAAGAUCUCCCAAGCAAAAAGAUUGCCCACUUUAGUUUAGAAUCAGAUUAGCCUCUCAUGUUUUUCCUCACUGCCGCAAGCCACAAGAAAUAUAGCUCAAAGAAAGAAUUUCAUUGCAUUCCCUUUUCUCACGUACACAAACCGUGAACUACCUUGAAGGCAAAUGAUCAUGCAAAUUUCUAUUCUUUUUCCACUGCAUGUUUCGGCUGAGUGGAGCAAUCAACAAGGAGAUUUGGAACAUAAUCUCACACACUUCUCUCCCUCUCCUUUCGGCUGAAAACUCCCAAGCAAGGAGGUAGGCGUUUGUCUCUUUGUGGCUGUUUCCUACUAGAUCGGUCCUAAUCCAGUUUUGUUGUUUUUUCCACUGCAUGCUCAAGACUCAGCCAUGAUUGAGCCAUUCUUUCUCCUUGCAUGCAAAGACAAGAGUGUGAGAGUGAGAGCAGAACCUUUGGUGGCUGUCCCAUUCAACGUUGGUGAAACAAUUGGGCACUUGAAGUGGGCACAAAUCGUGAAUUGCUCCUCCAACCCCCAUUCAAUGUGCGACUGUGAAGGAGAACGUAAAAGCUUUUGAGGACUUGGAUAUUUGCUGUUGGUUUCUACUAUUGGGCAUGCUGCUGUGAUUGUAUUAUUUUCAUGGAUGACUGUACUAAUUGUGGAUGUUUAAAUUAUUAGUGAACUAUGUUUGCAUUCUUUUUUAAGACUUUUAAGAACAACAAGUGUUUUGAAACGAAUUUCAGAACAGUUUUUACGAAAACUGAUUCAUGACGUUUUGAGAGCUAAGUUAAAACUGUUUGUGCGAGCAUUUUGUAGGUUGGCGUCCCGGGGCUACGGACCUCUGAUUUUCUUAUAAUUUAUAUGCACGCGUAGCCCCAGGUGUCUAGUUUCAUUAUAUAUAAACCUUUCAACGAAAUUCUGAAAGAUCG